ACGGAGGGUGCAAGCGUUAAUCGGAAUUACUGGGCGUAAAGCGUGCGUAGGCGGCUCGUUAAGUCAGAUGUGAAAGCCCCGGGCUUAACCUGGGAACUGCAUUUGAAACUGGCGCGCUAGAGUUGAGUAGAGGUAAGUGGAAUUUCAGGUGUAGCGGUGAAAUGCGUAGAUAUCUGAAGGAACACCAGUGGCGAAGGCGACUUACUGGACUCAAACUGACGCUGAGGUACGAAAGCGUGGGUAGCAAACAGGAUUAGAUACCCUGGUAGUCCACGCCGUAAACGAUGUCAACUAGCCGUUGGUCCUAUUUACAGGAUUAGUGGCGCAGCUAACGCAUUAAGUUGACCGCCUGGGGAGUACGGCCGCAAGGUUA
rnacentral:rRNA from 1 species